GUGUUGUAUCAAAAGAAAGAAGGUUAGCACUCCCCUUGACAGGGAUGGAAGAGGCCCUUGGUCCUGACAACAUGCAUAUUGUUAAGGCAUUGCCACCUACUUCAUGGCAUCUAACCCUUGUUUUUA
ensembl:snRNA U6atac minor spliceosomal RNA